AAGCUAAGCUCUCUAUUCUGCCCUGCUUAUGCACUGUGGAUCCUGGAGGUCUGUGGGAUGUGAAUGAAAGCACUACCCAAAACUGUAAUUUCAACUACAAUUUGAAAUUCAUCUUCAAGGAUCUAGUGCCUAAAGAAAAUAUAAAAUGGAGGAAAAGAAGGGCUUACUUGGGAAAUUGGGAAAGGAAGAACAGGUGGCCCACCAGGCAUGGUAGUGUACUUCCAUUUCUGAAAUGUUUGGGGGGGAAAAAAAAGGGUGCACAGGCUAAAGCAAUUCUUCUGCAACUUUAACUUGCACAACCAGCAUUUACUGAGCUGAUCACCAUCUGUUAUCACUGACCUUGGCAAUACUAUGAGAAUCCUAUAUUCACACAGAAACUCUCCUCUGCAUCUUCACCAACAUAUUAGGGAUAAACAGGCUUUACUUCAGCAACUGGCAUGUGUGAUUCAUAUCUGUCUAUUUUUCAUUCAGGAUCCUCUUUCCACCUCUCUUUGGACAGUGAUUGCUUCCCCUCCAUUACUCCUGCUGUGUGCUAUAACUUCUUGCAUCAUUUAUCAGGUCUCUGAGACAGUUUAAGCAAUAAAAUGGUUUAAUCUCUCUGGAUUGCA
rnacentral:lncRNA from 1 species